rnacentral:rRNA from 1 species
UACGUAGGGUGCGAGCGUUGCUCGGAAUCACUGGGCGUAAAGGGUGCGUAGGCGGGUCUUUAAGUCAGGGGUGAAAUCCUGGAGCUCAACUCCAGAACUGCCUUUGAUACUGAGGAUCUUGAGUUCGGGAGAGGUGAGUGGAACUGCGAGUGUAGAGGUGAAAUUCGUAGAUAUUCGCAAGAACACCAGUGGCGAAGGCGGCUCACUGGCCCGAUACUGACGCUGAGGCACGAAAGCGUGGGGAGCAAACAGG